GACGAACGCUGGCGGCGUGCUUAACACAUGCAAGUCGAACGGAAAGGCCCUGCUUUUGUGGGGUGCUCGAGUGGCGAACGGGUGAGUAACACGUGAGUAACCUGCCCUUGACUUUGGGAUAACUUCAGGAAACUGGGGCUAAUACCGGAUAGGAGCUCCUGCUGCAUGGUGGGGGUUGGAAAGUUUCGGCGGUUGGGGAUGGACUCGCGGCUUAUCAGCUUGUUGGUGGGGUAGUGGCUUACCAAGGCUUUGACGGGUAGCCGGCCUGAGAGGGGGACCGGCCACAUUGGGACUGAGAUAGGGCGCAGACUCCUACGGGAGGCAGCAGGGGGGAAUAUUGCACAAUGGGCGGAAGCCAGAUGCAGCAACGCCGCGUGCGGGAUGACGGCCUUCGGGUUGUAAACCGAUUUCGCCGGUGACGAAGCGUGAGUGACGGUAAUGGGUAAAGAAGCACCGGCUAACUACGUG
rnacentral:rRNA from 1 species